GAUCAAUGAUGAAAAUAGCCAAAUCUGAGCAUCAGAGGAUCUACCGGUCUACCUGAUGCAUGAUCUCUAGAGUUCUGAGA